rnacentral:lncRNA from 1 species
UUUGCAUCCCCAACUUUAUUCUGCAGAAGAAAGCAGCCAAUGGAAGAAGCAGAUCUAGGAGGCAGCGGUAACCAUCACCUCAUGCUCCAGGCUUCUCACACGCUUGCAAACAUGUGCAUCAUCAUUAAAAUGCAGAUUCUCAUCCAGAGGCCUUGGGUGGAGCCCAAGAGUCAGAGUUUAUCCCAAGCUCGCAGGUGUUGCCCAGGUCCCUGAACACACCAUGAGCUGAAAAGCAUUGCAGAGCCCAGGAUCGUAUGGUUAGCAGAUGAUAGAGCCAUACUUGAGCCCUGAUCUGAUUGACCCCACGGAUAUCUCAACCCCAUCUUUAAUGGCCAGUUCAUCACACUAAGGGGAAGGAGAUGUUUGAUUUUGUCUGAAUGCAAAAAGUUCAGUAGAUCCUAGAGGAAGCCUCCAGAGACUUGUUACAGAGCAAAGAAGAGGUUCUAAGGUGGAUGGGAAUCUUCACCCCCACAGAGAAGGAUGUGUGUCCAUGAGGAAAGGUGCCUUAAAAAUACUGGCCGAAUCAAAGCAAACAAGUGAACUUGAAAAUGGACCACAAAGAAAGAUGAACACAUUGCCCUGGAUGAACACAUCCUUCGGUGAGUUGAUAAGAUGUGCUCUUGCCUGAGGUCUCCACAGGAUGCUACCCGUGGAGGAAAGUGAUAGUCCUUCCUGAAGGGACCACUCAGCAUCAUCUUAUAUAACAUGUGAACAGGGCUGUAAUGCAGUGGAAGCUUAUAAAUGAUCUUGCUGUAUAAAGUAGCCUUGUUUGCCUGCACUGGACACUAAGCUAUGCAGAGUUUGUGUUAGGAAAGCAGCCCUGACACCAAACAUUUGAUCUGUCAAUUUAGUCUUGGAUUUUGGGAAUUUUCUCCACAUCCACUUCACGAGAAAGGCCAUUGCGUCACUACCAAGUGUUGAGUACAUUUUGAAAGGCACUUGAACCUUACAAGUCUCCCC